rnacentral:lncRNA from 1 species
AGUAAAGCUUUCUGCAGUCUACUCUCCUUUUGUAGUCAGAUAAAUUCAGGCUAGAUUCCUAAUUUUCCACUUAUUAGUUGAGUGACUUUGGGCAAAUUAACUCACCUCCCUAACCUUCAGUUUUAUCUGUAAACCUUAUGAUAGCAGUUUGCUCCCGUGAGGCUACAUAAGGCACCUAAUACACUUAGCAGAGCGCUUAGUACCUGGCAAACGCUCACUAAUUGUAAGAUAUGAUUGCUGUUAAUAGCGUUCGCUGCUAGUGGCUGGCUCAUAAGCGUUUUUUAAAAAUCACCACUUCAAUCCCCUUAGAACGUGCUUCCUUAGGUUAACGGCCCUUAUUCUUCUGUGUCCCACGUCUCAACAGAGCCCCUUCCUCCUCCACCCAGGGGAGGCCCAACUGCACCAGGCCAUUCCACUGCUUCAGGACGCAACUGUGCAGAGCAUCAAGACAAAAAUCUCAGUCUUCGAGGAACUCACAGUGUAGCAGAAAAGACAAAGGAGGUAAACAGGAGGAGCAUGAAUAAUUCAUCUUGAUGUAAUCAUGCAAGACUCCUAAGAAGAUGUUAGGAGACCCUGUCAUCAUUCUUUUGGCCUCUAGUGUCCUUUAUCUUCAUGUUUGCUGGCUUCCUUUUACUACUAUGGAAAUACAACAUAUGCAAAAGUAGUGUUUUCACUGUUUAAAAACAUCGUCAGCAGCAUCAUCAUCAUUAACUGCACCAGGAAGCCAUGACUCCUUUCUGGACAAGGUGCACUUGCCUGUCAUCCUUCCAUCUCUUUCUUCCUCCUUGAAGUUCACAAUACCCAGUCCAGGAGCAUUGCAGAGAAUGCUAGGUGUGUCUGCAGACUUGACUUUAAAAGAAAACAAGUUCCUUCAAGUGAGUUCAUCAUGAUGGGAAUGAUAAUUUGUUUGAGAGAAUGUGUGUUCUUUGGCAAAGGAACUCCUGUUAUACCAUGACAGUAAUAAUAGCAGUAAUAAAAUCACCAAUAAUAAAUUUACUUU